UUACAGAGGAUUUGAAAAUGCUCCAGGACUUGGAAAAAAGGCAGCGCAAGAGAAGUUAUGAAGAGGAUACACAAGCUGAGAAGGACCUUGCAGAAAAUAUAAAAGAUACUGAAUACUGAUAUGUAGAUAUGAUAAAAGUGGAAGAGGCAUGUUCUUUAGUGCUAGGGUGUGGUACUUUCUAAUGAAUGUUUGAAUGUUGAUUUCCUACAUGAAUGAUGACUUGUUAGCACCCAUAUCUCUCUUUUUAAUUUUUUCAUGUGUUAGAACAUUUUGAAAAUUUUGAAACCAGGAAUUGGUUGAUUUGGAUUUAUUUGUUUGGUUGUGAGUCACGCAACACAACUAGCAUUUAUACACCAUUUUUUUCCAUUUGGUGUCCUUACUUACAUUUGUUACCCAUUAUAGAAAGAUCCUUCUAUUUCUUUACA